GACGAACGCUGGCGGCGUGCCUAACACAUGCAAGUCGAACGGACGAGAUGGCUUCGGCCAUCGAGUUAGUGGCGGACGGGUGAGUAACGCGUGAGCAACCUGCCUUACAGAGGGGGAUAACACACGGAAACGUGUGCUAAUACCGCAUAAAUCAGGCUAAUGGCAUCAUUAGCUUGGCAAAAGAGCAAUCCGCUGUAAGAUGGGCUCGCGUCCGAUUAGAUAGUUGGCGGGGUAACGGCCCACCAAGUCUGCGAUCGGUAGCCGGACUGAGAGGUUGAUCGGCCACAUUGGGACUGAGACACGGCCCAAACUCCUACGGGAGGCAGCAGUGAGGGAUAUUGCACAAUGGGCGAAAGCCUGAUGCAGCAACGCCGCGUGAGGGAUGACGGCCUUCGGAUUGUAAACCUCUGUCCUCAGUGAAGAAAAAAAUGACGGUAGCUGAGGAGGAAGCCACGGCUAACUACGUGCCAGCAGCCGCGGUAAUACGUAGGUGGCAAGCGUUGUCCGGAAUUACUGGGUGUAAAGGGAGCGCAGGCGGGCGUGCAAGUCAGCUGUGAAAUCCAUGGGCUUAACCCGUGGGCUGCAGUUGAAACUGUAUGUCUUGAGUGAAGUAGAGGUAGGCGGAAUUCCGAGUGUAGCGGUAAAAUGCGUAGAUAUUCGGAGGAACACCGGUGGCGAAGGCGGCCUACUGGGCUUUAACUGACGCUGAGGCUCGAAAGUGUGGGGAGCAAACAGG
rnacentral:rRNA from 1 species